AGAGAGAGACAUGCGCGCAUAUCAAUAAGCGGAGGAAAAGAAACUAACAAGGAUUCCCUUAGUAACGGCGAGUGAAGCGGGAAGAGCUCAAAUUUGAAAUCUUCAAGGUUUUACCUUGACGAAUUGUAGUUUAAAGAAGUGUUUUCUGCUGAAGUUUUGGUAAAAGUUCUUUGGAAUAGGACAUCAUAGAGGGUGAGAAUCCCGUAUUUGACCAUUAUUUUCAGCUUUGUGAUACACUUUCAAAGAGUCGGAUUGUUUGGGAAUGCAGUCCAAAAUGGGUGGUAAAUUUCAUCUAAAGCUAAAUAUUGGCGAGAGACCGAUAGCGAACAAGUACCGUGAGGGAAAGAUGAAAAGAACUUUGAAAAGAGAGUUAAACAGUACGUGAAAUUGUCAAAAGGGAAGCGUUUGACACCAGUGUUGUUUUCUCGAAAAUCAAUUAAAAAUGGCUCGAUUUUGUAUUGCUUGAGACCUUAAAAGCUCAUUGUACAUUUUUCGUGUCUUUUUUAGUGCACUUUUCGUUUAACAAGUCAACAUCAGUUUCUUUUGUUGUAAAAGGGUCAUUGGAAGGUGGCUUUCUUUUCGGAGAAAGUGUUUAUAGCCUUUGGCCUCUGCAAUCGGAGAGACUGAGGUCUGCAGCGUAGACUCUUCGGGGUUAGAUACAUUUGUGCUAAGUUAUAGCUUUUUAUAGACAACUUGUUGACUAUAAUUAGUCUUGUAGCUUACUCGCUUAUGCUAUUUUACCUACGCUUAGGAUGUUGAGUCGUAGAGCACGCAG
rnacentral:rRNA from 1 species